UUUGCCCUUUUUCUCCCCCUUGCGAGAGGAUUUCGGGUCGGAGGACGGUGGGAGGAAGGACCUCGAUGUCGGUUCUCGGUGCCUAGCGUGGUUUUCGGAUUUGGGGAGGAGGGAAAUACGGGGGAAUUUGCGUUUGAAAAAGAAACCUCGUGGAUGAACAAACUACCACAGAAAGAUUGCUGUAUGAAUGAAAAGCUUUCCUAACCCCCUACCAAUUGUACAUCCCGAGCUGGUGUUUACUUAAAUAUUUUGAGGGACUUGCAGAAAUCUAAUGUAUUAUAUUUGUAUAUGCAUAUUAAAAGACUGUCCUCUUGAAUAUAGCAUGCAUUGAUCUCCUUGUCUUACACCUUGUGACUAAAGCAAUUCUCCUAAUAUUUGACUUCCUGGAAAGAGAACAUGUGAUUUUUUUAAGUGGCAGGUAUUUUAUUGUAAAUACUGUAACUUUAUUGCAUGAUUCCCAUUUAUCCAUAUUUUCACCAGAACUGCUUCUUAGGUUAUAUAUAACUAAAUGCUAGUAACCCAACCCUUUUCUUUGUUACAUAUUUGUGGCAAAUCUGUGUUUUGAUUUAGUUGCUAGCGGAGUCAAGCUAGUGAUUAUGUGUACAGCACAGAAAUUAAAGUUCUUUGACAACAGCUGGGUCUUUUUCCAUUGAAUUGUACCCAAAUGUUAAGUCAGAACAUAGAA